rnacentral:rRNA from 1 species
GAUUCCCCUAGUAACGGCGAGUGAAGAGGGAAAAGCCCAGCACCGAAGCCUGCGGCAGUUUUGCUGUUAGGCAAUGUGGUGUUUAGGUCGGCUCGCGGGACUGCUGCUCCAUUCUAAGUCCAGCUUUGAGUAUGGCUUCUGGACUUGGCCCACAGAGGGUGAAAGGCCCGUUCGAAUGGAGGAUAAGAGAAGUGAGUAGUCCACUAUGCCGGCCUUCGAGUCGGGUUGUUUGAGAAUGCAGCCCAAAGAGGGUGGUAGACUCCAUCCAAGGCUAAAUACUAGCACGAGUCCGAUAGCGAACAAGUACCGUGAGGGAAAGUUGAAAAGUACUUUGAAGAGAGAGUAAACAGUACGUGAAACCGCAUAGAGGUAAACGGGUGGCGUCAAGCUGCACGCUUAGAGGAUUCAGUCGGUCAGGAUGUUGUGUAUGCGCCUGGCGCAUCUAUCAGUCGGAGUGAGAUAAAGUAGUCCGUUGGGUAACAGCGGGCCCGGCCGAAAGGCUGGGAUUUGUAUUCCGUGUUAUGUGCGGAGCUUGCUACUUGUCUAUGGACUGCCUGGCCGAUGCAUUUUCUCUGUGGCGAACACCACGACCGGUGGUACUGCCAGUCUGCUGUGGUAAAGUCGGGUUCAGUCGGCCUUGUGUUGGUUGAGCUUGAUCAUAGGCAAGCGGUGUGCGGGUGCGUUCGCGUACUUGUACACCGCUUUGUCAACGGGUCUGUUUGCUGACGAUUGUAGUAGUUGGCGAAUGGCCUGGUGGACCAUGGUGGUAAGAAUAACUGUGCAGGGCACCGGUGAUUUCGGUCUCUAAUUUGGCUCGCUCACACACUACAAGUGGGUGUGGGUCGUCGUUGCAGUCUGCCUGUGAUUGGGUUUGAUUGUCGUGUUGCCUGCGCAAAGUAGGUCCGGCAGUAGCCUGAUUUUGGAUGGUAUUGCUAGCGGCGUCUCUUCUGCGGGCUGAUGAGGGCCUAAUAGU